GAUGAAGAACGUAGCGAAAUGCGAUAAGUAAUGUGAAUUGCAGAAUUCAGUGAACCAUCGAAUCCUUGAACGCACAUUGCGCCCGGCAGUAAUCUGCCGGGCAUGCCUGUCCGAGCGUCAUUUCUCCCCUCGAGCGCAGCUUUCCCCCCCGGGGGAGGGCCGCGCCCGGUGUUGGGGCGCUACGGAGGAGCCCAGCGCUCCCCCGUAGGCCCCGAAAUGUAGUGGCGGUCCCGCCGCGGCGCCCCCUGCGUAGUAGUUUUACAACUCGCAUCGGGUCCCGGCGGAGGCCAGCCGUCAAACCCCCCAACUUCAAUAGUUUGACCUCGGAUCAGGUAGGGUUACCCGCUGAACUUAAGCAUAUCAAUAAGCGGAGGA
rnacentral:misc_RNA from 1 species